rnacentral:rRNA from 1 species
AACGAACGCUGGCGGCAUGCCUAACACAUGCAAGUCGAACGAGACCUUCGGGUCUAGUGGCGCACGGGUGCGAAACGCGUGGGAACCUGCCCUUAGGUUCAGAAUAACUCCCCGAAAGGGGUGCUAAUACCGGAUAAUGUCUUCGGACCAAAGAUUUAUCGCCUUUGGAUGGGCCCGCGUUGGAUUAGCUAGUUGGUAGGGUAAAAGCCUACCAAGGCGACGAUCCAUAGCUGGUCUGAGAGGAUGAUCAGCCACACUGGGACUGAGACACGGCCCAGACUCCUACGGGAGGCAGCAGUGGGGAAUAUUGGACAAUGGGCGAAAGCCUGAUCCAGCAAUGCCGCGUGAGUGAUGAAGGCCUUAGGGUUGUAAAGCUCUUUUACCCGGGAUGAUAAUGACAGUACCGGGAGAAUAAGCUCCGGCUAACUCCGUG